ACAAUGGAGAGUUUGAUCUUGGCUCAGGAUGAACGCUAGCGGCAGGCCUAAUACAUGCAAGUCGAACGGUCGUAGCAAUACGAUAGUGGCGCACGGGUGCGUAACGCGUAGCCAACCUACCCGAAUCUGGGGGAUAGCCCGCCGAAAGGCGGAUUAAUACCGCAUAAGACAAUAACACGGCAUCGUGUAGUUGUUAAAAAUUUAUUGGAUUCGGAUGGGGCUGCGUGCCAUUAGCUAGUUGGGGGGGUAACGGCCCACCAAGGCGACGAUGGCUAGGGGAGCUGAGAGGCUGGUCCCC
rnacentral:rRNA from 1 species